rnacentral:rRNA from 1 species
UACGCUGGCGGCACGCCUAAUCAUGCAAGUCGAACGGAGUAGCAAUACUUAGUGGCAGACGGGUGAGUAACAUGUGGGUAUCUUCCCUUUGGUGAGGAAUAACACGAGGAAACUUGUGCUAAUACCUCAUAAGUCUUUACGGAGAAAGCUUUAUGCGCCAAUGGAUGAGCCCGCACUUGAUUAGUUUGUUGGUAGGGUAAUGGCCUACCAAGACUGUGAUCAAUAGCUGAUUUGAGAGGAUGAUCAGCCACAUUGGGACUGAGACACGGCCCAAACUCCUACGGGAGGCAGCAGUAGGGAAUCUUGCACAAUGGAGGAAACUCUGAUGCAGCGAUGCCGCGUGAGUGAAGAAGGCCCUUGGGUUGUAAAGCUCUUUCGUCGGGGAAGAAAAUGACUGUACCCGAAUAAGAAGGUCCGGCUAACU